rnacentral:rRNA from 1 species
AAGAGACAGCAGCAGCCACGGUAAUACGUAGGUCCCGAGCGUUGUCCGGAUUUAUUGGGCGUAAAGCGAGCGCAGGCGGUUAGAUAAGUCUGGAGUUAAAGGCUGUGGCUUAACCAUAGUACGCUUUGGAAACUGUUUAACUUGAGUGCAAGAGGGGAGAGUGGAAUUCCACGUGUAGCGGUGAAAUGCGUAGAGAUGUGGAGGAACACCAGUGGCGAAGGCGACUCUCUGGUCUGUAACUGACGCUGAGGCUCGAAAGCGUGGGUAGCAAACAGGAUUAGAUACCCCGGUAGUCCCUGUCUCUUAUACA